GAUGAACGCUGGCGGCGUGCCUAAUACAUGCAAGUCGAGCGAACAGACGAGGAGCUUGCUCCUCUGACGUUAGCGGCGGACGGGUGAGUAACACGUGGAUAACCUACCUAUAAGGCUGGGAUAACUUCGGGAAACCGGAGCUAAUACCGGAUAAUAUAUUGAACCGCAUGGUUCAAUAGUGAAAGACGGUUUUGCUGUCACUUAUAGAUGGAUCCGCGCCGCAUUAGCUAGUUGGUAAGGUAACGGCUUACCAAGGCAACGAUGCGUAGCCGACCUGAGAGGGUGAUCGGCCACACUGGAACUGAGACACGGUCCAGACUCCUAAGGGAGGCAGCAGUAGGGAAUCUUACGCAAUGGGCGAAAGCCUGACGGAGCAACGCCGCGUGAGUGAUGAAGGUCCUCGGAUCGUAAAACUCUGUUAUUAGGGAAGAACAAAUGUGUAAGUAACUAUGCACGUAUUGACGGUACCUAAUCAGAAAGCCACGGCUAACUACGUG
rnacentral:rRNA from 1 species